GAGUUUGAUCGUGGCUCAGGAUGAACGCUGGCGGCGUGCCUAAUACAUGCAAGUCGAGCGAACAGAUAAGGAGCUUGCUCCUUUGAAGUUAGCGGCGGACGGGUGAGUAACACGUGGGUAACCUACCUAUAAGACUGGGGAUAACUUCGGGAAACCGGAGCUAAUACCGGAUAACAUUUAGAACCGCAUGGUUCUAAAGUGAAAGAUGGUUUUGCUAUCACUUAUAGAUGGACCCGCGCCGUAUUAGCUAGUCGGUAAGGUAACGGCUUACCAAGGCGACGAUACGUAGCCGACCUGAGAGGGUGAUCGGCCACACUGGAACUGAGACACGGUCCAGACUCCUACGGGAGGCAGCAGUAGGGAAUCUUCCGCAAUGGGCGAAAGCCUGACGGAGCAACGCCGCGUGAGUGAUGAAGGGUUUCGGCUCGUAAAAACUCUGUUAUUAGGGAAGAACAAAUGUGUAAGUAACUGUGCACAUCUUGACGGUACCUAAUCAGAAAGCCACGGCUAACUACGUGCCAGCAGCCGCCGCAGU
rnacentral:rRNA from 1 species